rnacentral:rRNA from 1 species
CGCGGGAUUGGACGGGGUGCAGCAGGCGCGAAACCUUUACAAUGCACGAAAGUGUGAUAAGGGAAUUCUAAGUGCUCAUACAAAGUAUGGGCUUUUGCCAAGGGUAAAUACCUUGGCGAAUAAGUGGUGGGCAAGACUGGUGCCAGCCGCCGCGGUAACACCAGCGCCACGAGUGGGAAUCAGAUUUAUUGGGCCUAAAGCGUUCGUAGCCGGUUUAGUAAAUCCUUUGUGAAAUUGUUAAGCUCAACUUAGCAGCGUGCAGAGGAAUACUGCUAAACUAGGGACCGGGAGGAGCAUGAGGUAUUCCUUGGGGAGCGGUAAAAUGUUAUAAUCCUUGGAAGACCACCUGUGGCGAAGGCGUCAUGCUAGAACGGAUCCGACGGUGAGGGACGAAAGCCAGGGGAGCGAUCCGGAUUAGAUACCCGAGUAGUCCUGGCCGUAAACUCUGUGAAUUAGGUGUUGCACAUUCUCCGUGAAUGUGCAGUAUCGUAGCGAAGGCGUUAAAUUCACCGCCUGGGGAGUACGGUCGCAAGGCUGAAACUUAAAGGAAUUGGCGGGGGAGCACUACAAGGGGUGCGGCGUGCGGUUUAAUUGAACUCAACGCCGGAAAUCUCACCAAGAGCGACUGCAGGAUGAAGGUCAGAUUAAAGGUUUUACCUGACACGCAGAGAGGUGGUGCAUGGCCGCCGUCAGCUCGUGCCGUAAGGUGUCCAGUUAAGUCUGGCAACGAGCGAGACCUAUGUUUACAAUUGCUAAUGUUUUUUUUCGAAGGCAUGCACAUUGUGGAGACUGCCUUGGAAACAAGGAGGAAGGUAUAGGCAACGGUAGGUCUGUAUGCCCCGAAUCUCUUGGGCUACACGCGCGCAACAAUGGUAUAGACAAUGGGAUGCAACUCCGAGAGGAGAAGCUAAACCUCGAAACUAUAUCUCAGUUCAGAUUGAGCUUUGAAACCCAGGCUCAUGACGACGGAAUCCCUAGUAAUCGAAAGUCAUUAUCUUUCGGUGAAUAUGUCCCUGCUCCUUGCACGAAUUCGCCGAAUCACUAGU